AUGGCAAACGUAGAGGCUGUAACCCAAGCAACCAUGCGGACCAGAGGCCUCAGCUGCAGGGAUGGGAAGUGGAAUCCGUCUGUCCUCCCAGGGAGCACAGGUGCAGCACAGGGCAGGAAAGAAGAUGAAGAAGGCUUUAGACUGAAAGAACUGUCUCGAUCGCAGCCCGCCUUCUUCCCAGACCCCUUCUUCCCCCAGCCCCAGGCUGGGGCAACAGGCCCCCCCUGCCACACGCCACCGCACAUGCCCAAAACCUGAAGUCAACCCUGCCCCUCCGCCCUCCCCACACCCGCACCCAGGGACAUGGCCCGCGGAUGCCAACCCGGAAGCGCUCUCGGAGCCUGUUGCGUCCUUUCCUUCCCCCAGCAGCCCACCCCUGGGCUGCGGAAAUCUCUGAACUGGUCACCCACAUCCAGUCUUUCCUUUCUCCCCGGUCCCCAGGGGAAGGUCCUGAAACCCACGCAGGCCUGGCCAUCACGCUGGCGCUGAAAAACUUCCCUUGACCCCUAGUGUCUGCCAGACAAAUUGUAAUAUUCCUGGGUGUCCCAGGUGUCCCAGGCCCAUGAGCGACCCUCUGUGUUUUCACUUGUUGCUCUUCCUGCCGGGAUGCCCUGCCCUCUCCGUCUUUGUGUCUGAGAGGGUGAAUCAGCUGUCUUGGCAAUGAUUAGGGCAGCGACGCCAGAGUAGAUGACCUCUUUGCGUGUGAGCAACGUGGCAGCAUAUGCCGUUUGGUAAGGGGUUUGCUAGGUGAGUACGUGUGAGUAUGUGUGAUGUAUACACCUUUCCACAUCCAGCCUGGCUCCUGGCAGUGUCCUGUGGCAGAACAAGCUUCCUUCUGAGCCCCGAUUAGGCUGCAGCCCCUGGAAGGGGCCCCCAUUCCUCCUUGAAUGUCUAACCUGCAAGCUGGGCCCGUGCCUGAGCCCUGGCUUACUGCAGGACAUCUAGUCGCACCAGUGGCACCACCCAGCGUGAGCCUUUGAGAAACAUGUUCCUAAGCACAGCUUCGUGGACCUGCUGGGCUGGCAGGUGCGGGAAUUUGAGCGAUUGCAAUUUGCACAGGUCGACCCUCAGGCAAGCACGCCACCAAUUAUUUCUUGGUGAGCAGCUGCAUCAGUCUUUUGUAGCAUAAUGACAGGGAGUUCGGGAAGCGAGCUUCUGUGAUGGCUUUGGCUGGGGAGCUUUUUCAGCUGCCUCUGUCUUUGCCAGCCAC
rnacentral:lncRNA from 1 species